rnacentral:rRNA from 1 species
UAACAUUUGGAAACAGAUGCUAAUACCGCAUAACAAUUUGAAUCGCAUGAUUCAAAUUUAAAAGAUGGCUUCGGCUAUCACUUUGGGAUGGACCUGCGGCGCAUUAGCUUGUUGGUAGGGUAGCGGCCUACCAAGGCUGUGAUGCGUAGCCGAGUUGAGAGACUGAUCGGCCACAAUGGAACUGAGACACGGUCCAUACUCCUACGGGAGGCAGCAGUAGGGAAUCUUCCACAAUGGGCGCAAGCCUGAUGGAGCAACACCGCGUGAGUGAAGAAGGGUUUCGGCUCGUAAAGCUCUGUUGUUAGAGAAGAACGUGCGUGAGAGCAACUGUUCACGCAGUGACGGUAUCUAACCAGAAAGUCACGGCUAACUACGUGCCAGCAGCCGCGGUAAUACGUAGGUGGCAAGCGUUAUCCGGAUUUAUUGGGCGUAAAGCGAGCGCAGGCGGUUUGAUAAGUCUGAUGUGAAAGCCUUUGGCUUAACCAAAGAAGUGCAUCGGAAACUGUCAGACUUGAGUGCAGAAGAGGACAGUGGAACUCCAUGUGUAGCGGUGGAAUGCGUAGAUAUAUGGAAGAACACCAGUGGCGAAGGCGGCUGUCUGGUCUGCAACUGACGCUGAGGCUCGAAAGCAUGGGUAGCGAACAGGAUUAGAUACCCUGGUAGUCCAUGCCGU